CCUGAACUUUACAAAACAUGGACCAAAGUGCUUGGCUUCAAGCAACUUGAUGAAUCGUUGAGGCAUGCAAUGAAGGGUAUGCGUUUGAUAGUGUUUCCUGUUAAAGAUAUAUGCUUCGCCAACCUCUCCUAAAGAAUCAGUUUGCUGAUAAGAAUCUUAUUUCAGUGCAGGUUGAAGUGAAAAGGAUACUUCCCAGAGAGGAUACACAGGGAAGUUGAGGUGUAUCAAGAACAAAGAAAAUAUUUGUUGGUGAUGAAUUGGGGU